GACGAAGCCGUCCAAACGUUAUUCGGAAUCACUGGGCUUACAGAGUUCGUAGGCGGUCUGGAAAGUUGGGUGUGAAAGUCCCUCCGGCUCAACCGAGGAACUGCGCUUGAAACUACCAGACUCGAGGGAGAUAGAGGAAAGCGGAACUGAUGGUGGAGCGGUGAAAUGCGUUGAUAUCAUCAGGAACACCGGUGGCGAAGGCGGCUUCUGGGUCUUACCUG
rnacentral:rRNA from 1 species